GGGAUUUAUGAGAUGAAUAUUACAAUUUAUUGUAAACAAAAAUGUUAUAUUUAAAUGGUGGUUUUUGUAUGUUUUUCUUGUAUAUCUUUGUCGGUUCUUUUGAUAACCUCCUCUUGGAGUGGGAGGUGUGACGACCCUGAGUCUUCUCCAGAUCCUAUUGGACGGAGUGUGGCAGUUCCUAAUUGAUCUUCUCUGUUAAUUGUAAAUUAUUAACAUAUAUAAAAGAGUUACCUGUUGACUAAGACAGGCACUCUGUGGGAUGGUUUCUCUGGAGUGGCUCUGGUUUCAACAUAUUUAAAACGAGCUGGUCGUAACGGGGGCAGCCUCUGACGUGAUACCUGCGAUAGCCAAUGAGAGUGAGCAAGCAUCACCUACCAGAUGUUGCGUGCUUCUAUAGCUGUCAGCCACAAAUAUGUCACAAAAGCAGAGUACUGAUAAGGAUAUAUAUUCUUUUUUUAUUCAUAUUCUUUUUUUUAUACCUAGUUUUUUUUUUUUUUUUUAUUAAAUAGAAACAAAAUGCAUGCCAGGAGAGCCAGCUGACAAUAUCAAUUGUUCUUUAUUUGUUUUCCU